rnacentral:rRNA from 1 species
GACGAACGCUGGCGGCGUGCUUAACACAUGCAAGUCGAACGGAAAGGCCCUGCUUUUGUGGGGUGCUCGAGUGGCGAACGGGUGAGUAACACGUGAGUAACCUGCCCUUGACUUUGGGAUAACUUCAGGAAACUGGGGCGAAUACCGGAUAGGAGCUCCGGCUGCAUGGUGGGGGUUGGAAAGUUUCGGCGGUUGGGGAUGGACUCGCGGCUUAUCAGCUUGUUGGUGGGGUAGUGGCUUACCAAGGCUUUGACGGGUAGCCGGCCUGAGAGGGUGACCGGCCACAUUGGGACUGAGAUACGGCCCAGACUCCUACGGGAGGCAGCAGUGGGGAAUAUUGCACAAUGGGCGGAAGCCUGAUGCAGCAACGCCGCGUGCGGGAUGACGGCCUUCGGGUUGUAAACCGCUUUCGCCUGUGACGAAGCGUGAGUGACGGUAAUGGGUAAAGAAGCACCGGGUAACUACGUG